UUUGUCCAAAUUCUAGGGAGUAUAUAUGUUGUUUGGAAACAUAGUGUUUGUUCAUAGUGUUUAUUGCCUAGCCUUAGAAAACUGUCCAGGAACUUUCCCGGAUGCAACUUUAGCUUCAUUGGUUUCUUUAAUAUUUUUUCAUAUUUACUUGGAAAACUUUUUGUAAAUUUCUCAUCUUGUCUACUAACUUCUAUACAAGCCUUUUUCUAAUAAAUAAUAAUGCUAAAUUAUUUAAAGAGUCAUGCUAAUGACAGCCCAAUGGGCUGCCAAUAAGGGGAAGAAAACGCCAAAAAACUCUCAAUGUAUUUUUUACACAUCCCAAAGCAUUUUCACAAAUUUGGACACACUUUUUACACGUCCCCUGGUACUGUUGACAGCCCAAAGGCUGUCUUUAGCAUUUUUCCUUAUUUAAAUUAUGCAAAUGUAUUCCAUGUCCAAGAGAUAUGCUGGAAGACUCAUAGGAAUGAUGGAAACAACCAGUAGAAUACUGCAUGUUUUACAAAACUAAGUUGCAUCUCUCUCUCUCUCUCUCUCUCUCUCUGGGGGAGUUUGAAGUCCUCUAUGGAGUCCACCCUAAUUUUUUUGUCAUUUGUAUGCUUUGCAGGAAAAUCCCUCACUACAUACUGUUGAAAUGGCAAAUGUGGAAUCAACAUUCGAUUUAGGCAGUUCAAAAGCUAUGGACUUUCUGGAUACAUUUCUAUCCAUGAAUCCAAAUUCCAGCAGACAGGUUAGAAUCCACGAUUUCUUCAGGGUCCUGAGAUUGAAGGCUUGUAAUCUUUCUGAAAAGAUAUUUGGAGUCCUUGAUGUGGAGAAAAAAAGGGUAAAAUAGCAUUCAAGCAGGGGAUAAUCUCUCUCUUAGUUAUACAUGCGAUCCCCAAUUGCUCCCAACUGUGUCUGCACAAAGCCAAUACAGAGCCUCUCAUAGAUGGAAAAUCUAUUGUUUGCAGUUCCUAUAUGGGUCAGCUCAUGUCCUACAGCAACCAUUUUCAAACGAACCGUGAAUUGGCCUUCGCUGAGUGUCACACUGGUGGAAACCAUUACAUUUCCGAGCAAGAAUUGGGAGAUUCCAUUAAGCCGACUAUUCCAAACAUGGACAAGUUUGAGAUCCAUGAACUAUUCAAAUCAUUUGAUACCGAUAGCGAUGGGAGGAUCAACAAGGAUGAUUUUAUCGCCUGUUUAAGAAGAAAUCCGUUGCUUGUUGCACUUUUCUCUCCCCAGUUAAUGCACAAGAACUUGUCUAGAGUCGAUACAUAGGAGGUUAAAGGAGAUGGUGUGAUGGAUGAUGGGUUGAUGAGUCUUCUUGUAGAUUUGGCUCUAUGAAACAUUUUAGCUCUUUCACAAAGGGCUUAAGUGAGGGAUAGGUCAUUUGCAUAUAAUUCUUUUUCUUUUGAAAAUAGUCACUUAACUUCUUGUGGUUUGUUGAAUAAAAUAUACCAUCUUCAUCAAAAUUAACAAUGUAUUACACAUGUCUACGUUUUCAAAUAGUAGGGGAUUAUGUGUAUAUAUAGGGGUACAGUGAAGUGUUUAGUUUAGGGGAUUAUGUGUUUAUUUCAAAUGACAUGGGUAUUAUGUGCACAUAACUUGUACUAUAAAGGGAUAAAGUGAAAUAUUGGUUUUUUUUUUUUCUUUUUU